AAUAACAAGUUUGCCAUUGGAUU
rnacentral:siRNA from 1 species